CCUACGGGAGGCUGCAGUGAGGAAUCUUUGUCAAUGGGCGAGAGUCUGAUCCAGCCAAGUAGCGUGAAGGAUGACUGCCCUAUGGGUUGUAAACUUCUUUUAUGUGGGAAUAAAACGUUCCACGUGUGGGAUUUUGUAUGUACCAGAUGAAUAAGGAUCGGCUAACUCCGUGCCAGCAGCCGCGGUAAUACGGAGGAUCCGAGCGUUAUCCGGAUUUAUUGGGUGUAAAGGGAGCGUAGGUGGUUUGUUAAGUCAGUUGUGAAAGUUUGCGGCUCAACCGUAAAAUUGAAGUUGAAACUGGCAGGCUUGAGUACAGGAGAGGUGGGCGGAAUUCGUGGUGUAGCGGUGAAAUGCGUAGAUAUCACGAAGAACCCCGAUUGCGAAGGCAGUUCACUGGACUGCAACUGACACUGAGGCUCGAAAGUGUGGGUAUCAAACAGGAUUAGAUACCCUAGUAGUC
rnacentral:rRNA from 1 species